GGCGAACCGGGAGAACUGAAACAUCUAAGUACCCCGAGGAAAAGAAAUCAACCGAGAUUCCCUCAGUAGCGGCGAGCGAACGGGGAUUAGCCCUUAAGCAUCUUGGAAGUUAGUGGAACGGUCCUGGAAAGGCCGGCGAUACAGGGUGAUAGCCCCGUACACGAAAACAACCUUGAUGUGAAAUCGAGUAGGGCGGGACACGUGACAUCCUGUCUGAAUAUGGGGGGACCAUCCUCCAAGGCUAAAUACUCCUGACUGACCGAUAGUGAACCAGUACCGUGAGGGAAAGGCGAAAAGAACCCCUGUGAGGGGAGUGAAAUAGAACCUGAAACCGUGUACGUACAAGCAGUGGGAGCCCUUCGGGGUGACUGCGUACCUUUUGUAUAAUGGGUCAGCGACUUACAUUUUGUAGCGAGGUUAACCGUAUAGGGGAGCCGUAGGGAAACCGAGUCUUAACUGGGCGUCUAGUUGCAAGGUGUAGACCCGAAACCGGGUGAUCUAGCCAUGGGCAGGUUGAAGGUUGAGUAACAUCAACUGGAGGACCGAACCCACUAACGUUGCAAAGUUAGGGGAUGACCUGUGGCUGGGGGUGAAAGGCCAAUCAAACUCGGAGAUAGCUGGUUCUCCCCGAAAGCUAUUUAGGUAGCGCCUCGGACGAAUACUACUGGGGGUAGAGCACUGUUUGGGCUAGGGGGUCAUCCCGACUUACCAACCCCAUGCAAACUCCGAAUACCAGUAAGUAAUAUCCGGGAGACACACGGCGGGUGCUAACGUCCGUCGUGAAGAGGGAAACAACCCAGACCGCCGGCUAAGGUCCCAAAGUUCUGGUUAAGUGGGAAACGAUGUGGGAAGGCUCAGACAGCUAGGAUGUUGGCUUAGAAGCAGCCAUCAUUUAAAGAAAGCGUAAUAGCUCACUAGUCGAGUCGGCCUGCGCGGAAGAUGUAACGGGGCUCAAACCAGGCACCGAAGCCGCGGAUUCACGCUAAGCGUGAGUGGUAGGGGAGCGUUCUGUAAGUCUGCGAAGGUGUAUCGAGAGGUAUGCUGGAGAUAUCAGAAGUGCGAAUGCUGACGUAAGUAACGAUAAAGGGGGUGAAAAGCCUCCUCGCCGGAAGACCAAGGGUUCCUGUCCAACGUUAAUCGGGGCAGGGUGAGUCGACCCCUAAGGCGAGGCCGAAAGGCGUAGUCGAUGGGAAGCAGGUUAAUAUUCCUGCACGACUUGUAAUUGCGAUGGGGGGACGGAGAAGGCUAGGUGGGCCAGGCGACGGUUGUCCUGGUGAAAGUGCGUAGGUGGUGUUUCUAGGCAAAUCCGGAGACACAACACUGAGACACGAGACGAACACACUACGGUGUGGAAGCCAUUGAUGCCCUGCUUCCAGGAAAAGCCUCUAAGCUUCAGAUUACAAGUCAUCGUACCCCAAACCGACACAGGUGGUCGGGUAGAGAAUACCAAGGCGCUUGAGAGAACUCGGGUGAAGGAACUAGGCAAAAUAGAACCGUA
rnacentral:rRNA from 1 species